rnacentral:rRNA from 1 species
CUACGGGUUGCUGCAGUGGGGAAUAUUGGACAAUGGGGGAAACCCUGAUCCAGCAAUGCCGCGUGUGUGAAGAAGGCCUGCGGGUUGUAAAGCACUUUCGGUUGGGAGGACUGCUUCUAGCACUAAUAUUGUUGGAAGUUGACGUUACCUACAGAAGAAGCACCGGCUAACUCAGUGCCAGCAGCCGCGGUAAUACUGAGGGUGCAAGCGUUAAUCGGAAUUACUGGGCGUAAAGCGCGCGUAGGUGGUUAGAUCAGUUGGGUGUGAAAGCCCCGGGCUCAACCUGGGAAUUGCAUCCGAUACUGUCUAGCUUGAGUACAGGAGAGGAGAGUGGAAUUCCACAUGUAGCGGUGAAAUGCGUAGAUAUGUGGAGGAACACCAAUGGCGAAGGCAGCUCUCUGGCCUGAUACUGACGCUGAGGUGCGAAAGCGUGGGGAGCAAACAGGAUUAGAUACCCCCGUAGUC